AAUAAAAUGAAUAAGGGCAAUAAGUGGAUGCCUUGGUGAUAUCAGGCGACGAAGGACGUGGACAACUGCGAUAAGCCUCGGGGAGCGGUAAGCACGCUUUGAUCCGGGGAUUUCCGAAUGAGGAAACUCGAUCAGAUGAAAGUCUGGUCAGUGUAUGCUGAAUACAUAGGCAUACAUGGCGAACCUGCUGAAGUGAAACAUCUCAGUAAGCAGAGGAAAAGAAAGCGAAUGCGAUUUCCUGAGUAGUGGCGAGCGAAAAGGAAACAGUCUAAACCGUUGGGAUUUAUCCCGACGGGGUUGUAGGAGCCAAACGUUGGACGGUGGAUGAUAGAAGAAUCUUCUGGAAAGGAGAGUCAUAGAAGGUGAUAACCCUGUAAUCGAAAUCUGAAGCUGCCAUAUGGAAUUCCUAAGUAAUGCGGGAUGCGUGAAACCCUGCAUGAAUCUGCGCGGACCACCGCGUAAGACUAAAUACUCGAUAUCGACCGAUAGUGAACUAGUACCGCGAGGGAAAGGUGAAAAGAACCCCGUUGAGGGGAGUGAAAUAGUACCUGAAACUUAUUGCCUACAAGCGGUCGGAGCCUCCUAGUGGGGUGACGGCGUACCUUUUGCAUAAUGGGUCUGGGAGUCAAUAUUUGUAGCGAGCUUAAGGCUUUACUGGCUGGAGGCAUAGCGAAAGCGAGUCUGAAUAGGGCGAAUAGUUGCAGGUAUUGCACCCGAAGCGGAGGUGAUCUACCCAUGGCCAGGUUGAAGCUCGAGUAAAAUCGAGUGGAGGACCGAACCGGUGGACCUUGAGACGUCCUCGGAUGAGCUGUGGGUAGGAGCGAAAGACUAAUCAAACCCCGUAAUAGCUGGUUCUCUUCGAAAUAUAUUUAGGUAUAGCCUUGUGCGCUUAUCAUUGAGGGUAGAGCACUGAAAAGGUUAGGGUCCACACCAGGAUACCGACCCUUAUCAAACUCCGAAUACCGAUGAACGUAGCACGGGAGUCAGACUGUGGGGGAUAAGCUCCAUGGUCGAGAGGGAAAGAGCCCAGACCGUCGAUUAAGGCCCCUAAAUCAUUGCUAAGUGGAUUAAAGGAGGUGAAUUCACGCGGACAAUAGGGAUGUUGGCUUAGAAGCAGCCACCAUUUAAACAGUGCGUAAUAGCUGACCUAUCGAGUGAAUUUGCGCCUAAGAUGAUCGGGACUAAAGCAAUGUGCCGAAAUCACGGACUCGUCUUGGACGAGUGGUAGAAGAGCGUUCCAACAGGGCAGAAGCCGAAGGGGCAACCGACGGUGGACUGGUUGGAAGUGAGAAUCCAGACAUGAGUAACGAUAAACACGGUGAAAAUCCGUGUCGCCGCAAGGAUAAGGUUUCCAGGGCAAAGUUCGUCCGCCCUGGGUCAGUCGAGAGCUAAGGCGAGGCCGUAAGGAGUAGUCGAUGCACGACAGAUUAAUAUUUCUGUACCACCUUAUA
rnacentral:rRNA from 1 species